GGGCCUGUAGAUCAGUGGAAGAUCGCUUGAUUUAAUUUCAAGAGGUCACGGGUUCAAUUCCCGUCAGGUCCA
rnacentral:tRNA from 1 species